ACGGGAGGCAGCAGUGAGGAAUAUUGGUCAAUGGGCGGAAGCCUGAACCAGCCAUGCCGCGUGAAGGAUUAAGGCCCUAUGGGUCGUAAACUUCUUUUGUAUGGGAGCAAUAAGUCUUACGUGUAAGGCGAUGAGAGUACCAUACGAAUAAGCAUCGGCUAACUCCGUGCCAGCAGCCGCGGUAAUACGGAGGAUGCAAGCGUUAUCCGGAUUUAUUGGGUUUAAAGGGUGCGUAGGCGGCUUGGUAAGUCAGCGGUGAAAGGUCGGGGCUCAACUCCGGAACUGCCGUUGAUACUGUCGGGCUUGAAUGCGGAUGCCGUGGGAGGAAUGUGUGGUGUAGCGGUGAAAUGCAUAGAUAUCACACAGAACACCGAUUGCGAAGGCAUCUCACGAAUCCGCGAUUGACGCUGAGGCACGAAAGUGUGGGGAUCAAACAGGAUUAGAUACCCUGGUA
rnacentral:rRNA from 1 species